rnacentral:rRNA from 1 species
UACGGGGGGAGCAAGCGUUGUUCGGAUUUACUGGGCGUAAAGCGUGCGCAGGCGGUCUGUUAAGACCGAUGUGAAAUCCCCGGGCUUAACCCGGGAACUGCAUUGGUGACUGGCAGGCUUUGAGUGUGGCAGAGGGAGGUAGAAUUCCACGUGUAGCAGUGAAAUGCGUAGAGAUGUGGAGGAAUACCGAUGGCGAAGGCAGCCUCCUGGGCCAACACUGACGCUCAUGCACGAAAGCGUGGGGAGCAAACAGG